rnacentral:rRNA from 1 species
AGCGAACGCUGGCGGCAGGCUUAACACAUGCAAGUCGAACGGGCGUAGCAAUACGUCAGUGGCAGACGGGUGAGUAACACGUGGGAACGUACCUUUUGGUUCGGAACAACUGAGGGAAACUUCAGCUAAUACCGGAUAAAGCCCUUACGGGGAAAGAUUUAUCGCCGAAAGAUCGGCCCGCGUCUGAUUAGCUAGUUGGUGGGGUAAGAGCCCACCAAGGCGACGAUCAGUAGCUGGUCUGAGAGGAUGAUCAGCCACAUUGGGACUGAGACACGGCCCAAACUCCUACGGGAGGCAGCAGUGGGGAAUAUUGGACAAUGGGCGAAAGCCUGAUCCAGCCAUGCCGCGUGAGUGAUGAAGGCCCUAGGGUUGUAAAGCUCUUUUAACGGGGAAGAUAAUGACGGUACCCGUAGAAUAAGCCCGGCUAACUUCGUGCCAGCAGCCGCGGU